rnacentral:rRNA from 1 species
UACAGAGGGUGCGAGCGUUAAUCGGAAUUACUGGGCGUAAAGCGUGCGUAGACGGCUAUCUAAGUCGGGUGUGAAAGCCCCGGGCUCAACCUGGGAAUUGCAUUCGAGACUGAAUAGCUAGGGUACGGUAGAGGGAAGUGGAACUGCGAGUGUAGAGGUGAAAUUCGUAGAUAUUCGCAAGAACACCAGUGGCGAAGGCGGCUCACUGGCCCGGUACUGACGCUGAGGUGCGAAAGCGUGGGGAGCAAACAGG